rnacentral:rRNA from 1 species
UACAGAGGGUGCUAGCGUUGUUCGGAAUUAUUGGGCGUAAAGGGCGCGUAGGCGGCCCUGUGUGUCGGGUGUGAAAGCCCACCUCUUAAAGGUGGAAUUGCAUUCGAAACUACAGGGCUGGAGUGUCGGAGAGGAUGGCGGAAUUCCUGGUGUAGAGGUGAAAUUCGUAGAUAUCAGGAGGAACACCGGUGGCGGAGGCGGCCAUCUGGACGACAACUGACGCUGAGGCGCGAAAGCGUGGGGAUCAAACAGG